rnacentral:rRNA from 1 species
UACACUCCUGCGGGAGGCAGCAGUGGGGAAUAUUGCACAAUGGGCGCAAGCCUGAUGCAGCCAUGCCGCGUGUAUGAAGAAGGCCUUCGGGUUGUAAAGUACUUUCAGCGGGGAGGAAGGCGAUAAGGUUAAUAACCUUGUCGAUUGACGUUACCCGCAGAAGAAGCACCGGCUAACUCCGUGCCAGCAGCCGCGGUAAUACGGAGGGUGCAAGCGUUAAUCGGAAUUACUGGGCGUAAAGCGCACGCAGGCGGUCUGUCAAGUCGGAUGUGAAAUCCCCGGGCUCAACCUGGGAACUGCAUUCGAAACUGGCAGGCUAGAGUCUUGUAGAGGGGGGUAGAAUUCCAGGUGUAGCGGUGAAAUGCGUAGAGAUCUGGAGGAAUACCGGUGGCGAAGGCGGCCCCCUGGACAAAGACUGACGCUCAGGUGCGAAAGCGUGGGGAGCAAACAGGAUUAGAAACCCUUGUAGUCCCAUGA